GCGGGGGACGCUGCGGGAGCUCCCGGGGCGCGGCCACAGGUCUGCCUCGCCGUUGUGCAGGAGCACGAAGUGGCGCUGGGACAGCAGCGGCAGCAUCUUCUGGCCGCGCAGCCUCUUCUGGAAGGUCUCGAGUGCCAGAAAGAGGGAGAGGAGAGGGUCCCUGGAACCCACCGCUGCGCGCACGCCCAACGGCAGCCCCACCCAGGGACUGACGGUCCCGACCCCUGGCCCCUCCCAACGCCGUGUGGGCGGGGCGCGCACGCACCGCGAAGGUGGUGAAGACCCAGUCUCGGGGGAGGCGCUUGGCCUUGCGGAACUUGUCGUUGAUGUGGCGGUUAAGGUGCUCCAUGCUCCACACCGUGUCGUCCUUGAGCAGCAGGGGCCCAGCUGGGAGCACCGCAGCCUUCCACCGCCAAGGACUCCUCUGUGGGCCCCGCGACGCCCACGAGCCUCACAGGCACCAGCGGGCCUGGGUCAGCCCCACCUGGCCAACGCCCCUCGGGGUGCCCACGCGCAAAACCUCUGCACGACCCGCGCCUGAGGCGCCCGGAAGGGCAUCUUGCGGUAGAUGGGGUCGUCCUCGAUGCUCUGGGUCUUGGCUUGGAGGGCGGCGACUUCCUCCUGGUUCCGGAGCAGAAAGAUGCCUUUGCCCUGGUUGGAGGCGGUGGGCUUGCAGAUCCACAUCUGGGUUUCUGCGGAGAGAGCUACCCGAGCCAGGGAGCC